UGGGGAAUAUUGCACAAUGGGCGAAAGCCUGAUGCAGCAACGCCGCGUGAGUGAUGAAGGCCUUCGGGUUGUAAAGCUCUGUCUUUUGGAGACGAUAAUGACGGUACCAAAGGAGGAAGCCACGGCUAACUACGUGCCAGCAGCCGCGGUAAUACGUAGGUGGCAAGCGUUGUCCGGAUUUACUGGGCGUAAAGGAUGCGUAGGCGGAUUUUUAAGUGAGAUGUGAAAACCCUAAGCUUAACUUGGGGACUGCAUUUCAUACUGGAAAUCUAGAGUGCGGGAGAGGAGAAUGGAAUUCCUAGUGUAGCGGUGAAAUGCGUAGAGAUUAGGAAGAACACCAGUGGCGAAGGCGAUUCUCUGGACCGUAACUGACGCUGAGGCAUGAAAGCGUGGGUAGCAAACAGGAUUAGAUACCCUGGUAGUCCACGCCGUAAACGAUGAGUACUAGGUGUAGGAGGUAUCGACCCCUUCUGUGCCGCAGUUAACACAAUAAGUACUCCGCCUGGGAAGUACGAUCGCAAGAUUAAAA
rnacentral:rRNA from 1 species